ACUUUCUCUAUGUCUAAGAUUUACACUGAGCUUCCUGUUUAUUUCUCCUGACCCUUUAGGUGAGCAAAAGCAAUGAAGAUAAAUAGUAGCCUUGAUGUCAGGAACUCAACCAAUCCUCUGUAGCCUCCACACCAGAGAAUGCAUUUGCUACAUUUGCAGACGUUCUUCCAUUUAAGAGGUUCCUGGGAGCAGAAGGCCUGGCAUCCUUAACAAGGGUAUGGAAUGAACUGACUUCAUCUUCCCUUACUGCAACAAGGAG
rnacentral:lncRNA from 1 species